rnacentral:rRNA from 1 species
UACGGAGGGGGCUAGCGUUGUUCGGAAUUACUGGGCGUAAAGCGCACGUAGGCGGAUUGUUUAGUCGGGGGUGAAAUCCCGGGGCUCAACCCCGGAACGGCCUCCGAUACUGGCAAUCUGGAGGAUGAGAGAGGCGAGUGGAAUUCCGAGUGUAGAGGUGAAAUUCGUAGAUAUUCGGAGGAACACCAGUGGCGAAGGCGGCUCGCUGGCUCAUUUCUGACGCUGAGGUGCGAAAGCGUGGGGAGCAAACAGG